UCCGAGUUGACCCCGGCAGUCUCCCAUGAGUCCCCACCAUUACGUGCUGGCAACAUGGAACGAGGGUUGCGCUCGUUGCGGGACUUAACCCAACAUCUCACGACACGAGCUGACGACAGCCAUGCACCACCUGCACACAGGCCACAAGGGAACACCUAUCUCUAGGCGCGUCCUGUGCAUGUCAAACCCAGGUAAGGUUCUUCGCGUUGCAUCGAAUUAAUCCACAUGCUCCGCCGCUUGUGCGGGCCCCCGUCAAUUCCUUUGAGUUUCAGCCUUGCGGCCGUACUCCCCAGGCGGAGUGCUUAAUGUGUUAACUUCGGCACUAAGGGCAUCGAAACCCCUAACACCUAGCGCCCACCGUUUACGGCGUGGACUAC
rnacentral:misc_RNA from 1 species